AUACUUAGUGGCAGACGGGUGAGUAACAUGUAGGGAUCUUCCCUUUGGCCUGGAAUAACACGAGGAAACUUGUGCUAAUACCGGAUAAGUCUUUACAGAGAAAGCUUUAUGCAGCAUUGGAUGAGCCUGCACGUGAUUAGUUUGUUGGAUGGGUAAUGGCCUACCAAGACUGUGAUCAAUAGCUGAUUUGAGAGGAUGAUCAGCCACAUUGGGACUGAGACACGGCCCACACUCCUACGGUAGGCAGCAGUGGGGAAUCUUGCACAAUGGAGGAAACUCUGAUGCAGCGAUGCCGCGUGAGUGAAGAAGGCCCUUGGGUUGUAAAGCUCUUUAGUCGGUGAAGAAAAUGACUGUACCCGAUUAAGAAGGUCCGGC
rnacentral:rRNA from 1 species